GACGAACGCUGGCGGCGUGCUUAACACAUGCAAGUGGAGCGACGAACCAGGGCUUGCCCUGGGGCAGAGCCGCGAACGGGUGAGUAACACGUGGGUAACGUGCCCCGAUGAUCGGGACAACCCGGGGAAACCCGGGCUAAUACCGAAUGUGCUCCCCUCACACCAGUGAGGGAUGGAAAGGAAGCUUCGGCCUCCGCAUCGGGAUCGGCCCGCGGCCCAUUAGCUUGUUGGUGAGGUAACGGCNCACCAAGGCUGCGAUGGGUAGCUGGUCUGAGAGGACGAUCAGCCACACUGGGACUGAGACACGGCCCAGACUCCUACGGGAGGCAGCAGUGGGGAAUCUUGCGCAAUGCGCGAAAGCGUGACGCAGCAACGCCGCGU
rnacentral:rRNA from 1 species